rnacentral:rRNA from 1 species
UACGAAGGGUGCAAGCGUUACUCGGAAUUACUGGGCGUAAAGCGUGCGUAGGUGGUGAGUUAAGUCUGAUGUGAAAUCCCCGGGCUCAACCUGGGAAUGGCAUUGGAUACUGGCUCGCUAGAGUGCGGUAGAGGGUGGUGGAAUUCCCGGUGUAGCAGUGAAAUGCGUAGAGAUCGGGAGGAACAUCUGUGGCGAAGGCGGCCACCUGGACCAACACUGACACUGAGGCACGAAAGCGUGGGAGCAACAGG